UACGUAGGGGGCGAACGUUGUCCGGAUUUAUUGGGCGUAAAGAGCGUGUAGGCGGCCAUACAGGUCCGUUGUGAAAACUCGAGGCUCAACCUCGAGACGUCGAUGGAAACCGUAUGGCUAGAGUCCGGAAGAGGAGAGUGGAAUUCCUGGUGUAGCGGGUGAAAUGCGCAGAUAUCAGGAAGAACACCCGUGGCGAAGGCGGCUCUCUGGGACGGUACUGACGCUGAGACGCGAAAGCGUGGGGAGCGAACAGG
rnacentral:rRNA from 1 species